CCUCAGAGCCGGUGCUGCCCAUGGGGAACGUGCUCGAAAUCCCACCUGUGUUUCCAAACUGACGUUAAAUUACUGCAGACGUCUCAGUAUUUGCUGUGCACGGACAUAUCUUCUGUUGGAAAACAACACAUUGCGGUGAUGGAAAAUAACCUGAAUUCUUCCAUGCCGUUAACUGCAGGAGGUUUUCUACCCGAAGGGCCACGUCUGGCAGACAGGCUGGUGGGGCAGCACAGCCCAGUGCUGGGCUUUCAGGGCCGUGCACACAGCUGCUGGCUGGGGCUGAACCAGACGGAGCCAUGGCUGUAUGGCUGCGUGGCUGUUUGGCUGUGACUGUGUGACUGUCAGAUGGCUGUUCUGUACAGAAAGGGCUCUUCACCACAGCCUGUGCUCUGGGCUUUCUUCACACACUUUGCUGCACCUUGGGACGGGCCCCACGGUGGCUCUGAGCCUCACAACGGGCCCUGCUGCUGCCCCAUCCCCACGCCAGGCCCUGCAAGUCCACCACAGCAGCAAGCUGCACCAGGGCAGGUGACACCUAUAUGCAAAACAAUGACUGCUCCAGUUUUGAGUGGACUCUUCCCAGACAAGGUUGAUGGUCUGAUCCUAUUUCUGAUUUGAUAACAAGCCUUUUGGUUCACAUUCAUAAGAAGUGAGUGAUGAACACGACAAGCAGAACCAAGGGGGCCCUGCCUGCAGUCUUCAGGUAGAGGAGGACCGCCAGGUUUAUUGCACAGCCUCCUUUCCACAGGCUGGCACAUGAGAACUGCAGGAGUACAAGGCUCUGGUGGACAGCACACAGCAUACUGUAGUGCCAUCAAGCUAUAGAGGAGCGGAACUCUUCCUGGAGUAGUGAUGGAGGAUCCCAACAGCUAACUGUAUUGGAGGCUGAAGUGAGCCCAAUUGGGAAGGAGUGGCAAAACACCCCAUUGUGACCAACCCAGAGGCUCUGUGCAACGUUGGCAUAGAUCACCUCACAGGAAGACACCUCAAGGACUCAAACCAUGGCAUAGAUCACCUCACAAGAAGACACCUCAAGGACUCACUUGGUUUAACCUGACAGACAGCACGAUGAGAAAUCUGGCAAUGCCAGAGUGCCACUUGGGCACCAGCUGCUGCAGGCCUACAGCAGCAGACACUGCUCCAGAGGGCCAACAGGGCCACUGUCGCUGCUGCGAGGAGCUUGGCACAGAAGAACAUCCCUGGAGCAGCGAGCUAAGUGCACUGAGAUGUUUGAAGAUGUCCUCAGCCAUCUUCAGCCUGAAGCACCACUGAGACCCGCAGCUGCUGCAGAACACAAUGAAGCUACCAGAGAUGCUAAUGGAGGAGCUGAAGGGUUCAUAGGCAGAAAGCAAGGGGUGUGCUGUGGAGCCUACAACCAUGGAUUGCAGGAGUGCGUUUCUUAAAGCCAACAGAAUGGCAUCUUUUUUGAUGGGAAUAUAACAGUGGGACUUCAAAGCAUGACCAGCGCCCAGCGUUCAAAACAGCAUGCGUAAGGCCAGACACAAACUGUGAGACUAUCUUUAAGUCAUUAAAAAGAUCUAGAAUUA